rnacentral:rRNA from 1 species
UACGUAGGGUCCGAGCGUUGUCCGGAAUUACUGGGCGUAAAGAGCUCGUAGGCGGUUUGUCGCGUCUGCCGUGAAAGUCCGGGGCUCAACUCCGGAUCUGCGGUGGGUACGGGCAGACUAGAGUGAUGUAGGGGAGACUGGAAUUCCUGGUGUAGCGGUGAAAUGCGCAGAUAUCAGGAGGAACACCGAUGGCGAAGGCAGGUCUCUGGGCAUUGACUGACGCUGAGGAGCGAAAGCAUGGGGAGCGAACAGG